rnacentral:rRNA from 1 species
AUUGAACGCUGGCGGCAGGCCUAACACAUGCAAGUCGAACGAGUGGCGGACGGGUGAGUAAUGUCUGGGAAACUGCCUGAUGGAGGGGGAUAACUACUGGAAACGGUAGCUAAUACCGCAUACCAUCAGAUGUGCCCAGAUGGGAUGAGCUUGUUGGUGGGGUAAAGGCUCACCAAGGCGACGAUCCCUAGCUGGUCUGAGAGGAUGACCAGCUACACGGGAACUGAGGCACGGUCCAGACUCCUACGGGAGGCAGCGGUGGGGAAUAUUGCACAAUGGGCGCAAUCCUGAUGCAGCCAUUCCGCGUGUAUGAAGAAGGCCUGCGGGUUGUAAAGUACUUUCAGCGUGGAGGCGUUACCCGCAGAAGAAGCGCCGGCUAACUCCGUGCCAGCAGCCGCGGUAAUUC